AAUAAAAAUUGAGAAGUUGAGGUACAUCCUUAAGGAAAAAAAAAUUGUCAAAUGUAAUCAAUUUUUUAAAAUGGAGGCAGUACUUGGUAAAAACCUUUAUGAUACGGCAAACAAACGUAAUGAGAAAGUUCUGCUAAAGAAAAACGUAAUGAGAAAGUUUGGAAAAUCAAAUUCUUGGCCCUUUCUUCUUCGUACGGAGGUCAAAAUACACAUUAUUCAAUCCCAAAUGACACCCAUUUGAAUAUUUCAACCCAAUUAAACUUUCAAUAAGCAUAAUCAUACCAUUUGAAAGGUUUUUACAGUGACCCAGAAGAGAAAAUUCAUCAUCUGUAAUAAUAACCAACACAAUUUGAUUUAAUCAAAAUCAGUGGGAAGAUAAACUACUACUGCUACUGUCAUCAUAUGAGGAACUCUUUCAUCUCUGCAAUGAAAUCUCGUCCCUCAUUAUCAGCACCACACUGCAGCACAAGUUGCCGGGUUUCAGCAAUACGAGCUCCCACAGAAGUACUGAUGCUUGAUAUGGUAUCAUAGUCAAGGGUGGCUGCUUUCUUUACAUUUGAGAACUCGGAACUCAAGCCACCUACAACAGAUAAGCUGUUGUUCCUGUUCAUAACACACCGUCUCCCUUCAUUUCUGACAACCUCAUGAACCACAAAGUGCAGUAGAGUGGUCUUCCCAUCA